rnacentral:rRNA from 1 species
CGGAGGAUCCAAGCGUUAUCCGGAAUCAUUGGGUUAAAGGGUCCGUAGGCGGGUUUAUAAGUCAGUGGUGAAAGCCCAUCGCUCAACGAUGGAACGGCCAUUGAUACUGUAGAUCUUGAAUUAUUAGGAAGUAACUAGAAUAUGUAGUGUAGCGGUGAAAUGCUUAGAGAUUACAUGGAAUACCAAUUGCGAAGGCAGGUUACUACUAAUGGAUUGACGCUGAUGGACGAAAGCGUGGGUAGCGAACAGGAUUAGAUACCCUGGUAGUCCACGCCGUAAACGAUGGAUACUAGCUGUUCGGAGCAAUCUGAGUGGCUAAGCGAAAGUGAUAAGUAUCCCACCUGGGGAGUACGUUCGCAAGAAUG